AGACUCUAUACUCUAAUUUCUCAUUUAAAAGAAAUUGGACUCUUACAAAAUAAACAUGACAUGAACCCAGAAUUUAACUUACUAUUUUCUUACUGUUAUCUCAAAGACAUUACAUGAUAUUGAACACUUUGAGGUCAUUAUGGUACUGGGGGAGCAUAAUUGUUCCUAUUAAUAGAAACAAAAUACUAAGGAUUUUUCUAGAAACUCUCCUUUCAAGAGCCAUUUACCUGGCUAAGGAUUUUUCUAGAAACUCUCCUUUCAAGAGCCAUUUACCUGGAAUAAAAGUGAUGUGUAUGAUAAACAGUUGGCUAUACAGACCCAAGAUGAAAUUCAAAAUAUAACUUCUGAAAAUUCUGAAUUCAAAAUCAAGUUUUUGAUACUUUGGGAUCAGCUAGAUGAUCAUCAUCAAUUUGUCUCCUUUACACUUCAAUUUGCUUUUCAUCUUCACCAAUCUACACUAUAUUCAAGCCAAACUUACCAUUUCUCUUACUCCAUUUUCCCUGCAACUUCCCUAAGCUGUUAGUGUUAUUGUACUACUCUUCUCUAUGCCACUUAGGCUUGAAUUCUUGGCCUAGUUUCUCUCACUUCUGCAUGAAAUCACCAAAUGCCAGUGAUUCUGCUUCUAACAUAUUUCAGACAUCAUUUCUGUCCAUUCCCACUACCAGAAAGAAACUCUGUAUUAGUUUUUCUUUUACCUUUAUUGACCUUUUAUAAUAGCAUUUAUAGUGUGUUGAAUUGUGGCCCCCCAAAAAUAUGUCCAAGUCUUAACCCUGGUGCCUAUAAAUGUGACCUUAUUUGGGAAAAGAGUCUCAUAGAUGAAAUUAAGUUAAAGAUCUUACCCUGGAUUAACCAGGUAGAUGCUAAAUUGAAUAAAAAUUGUCUGUACAGGAAGAGAAGAGGAGAAACACAGAGAAGAAAGCCAUGUGAAGAUGGUAACAGACACUGGAGUCUGUAGCCCCAAGUGUAAUGUGACGGGUUCUCCACCAGGUUACUUAAGGGUGCAUGUCCAAUGCUUGAACCCUGAAGACUGGGUGGUGAGCCAAGGUCAUGGUGCUCAGCCAAGGAACACCAUGUGUUGUGUUUCCUGAGAACACAAACAUUUGGGAGAGUAUCUGGGGACAUACCAAGAAAAACACUCAUCACACACAGAGAAGAAAAGCCAGAAAAUUAGCUUAAAAGCAGCUUGAAGAUGGGUGGGGUAAGGGUGGCAUGUGGGGCAAAUCUCCAGAGUUGUCCUGCUACUAUCUAGGAAUGCCCUAUAUGUUAAGUCCUAAUAAACUCACCUACUCAUC
rnacentral:lncRNA from 1 species